CCCGCCCCGCCAGUGCCCGCGGGGGGAGGAACUUCCGGUCACGCGGGGGCCACGGCGCGGAGCCGGGAAGCGCGGGUUGGAGGGGGCUGCCCAGCUGAGCCUCCGGCCGAGCGAGGACGGGGCGUGUGGGGAGGGGACCGGAGUGCCCUCGACACUCGUGGGGCGCCCACGACCUCGCCCCGCUCCAGGACACCUCGGUGACCUCGAGGUCCCGCCGCGACGACCAUCGCCUUCCCGGAACCCCGGCCCAACUUCGUUCAUCAAGGGGUGCCCGCUGAGGACCCGGACCCGCGCUGGGCCCUCUCCGAGCGUCCACGGGGCCUGCCCUGGACCCCAAGACGGUGGAGGGAGGCGACGACCCCUGUGGUCGGGAGAAGGCUGUAUGGGGAGCAUGACUGGAAUGCAGUGGCUCGAGGAAAUAUAUAAUCAUGGUGGAAGAUGAAGAAGGAGCCAGCACUUCACAUGGCCGCAGCAGGAGGAAUGAGAGGGGAGGGGUGCCACACACUUGUAAACAACUAGCUCUCACAAGAACUCGCUCUCAUGACAGCUCCAAGGGGGAUGGUGUUAAACAAUGAGAAACCACCCCCAUGAUCCAAUCACCUCCCACUAGGCCCCACCUCCAACACUGGGGAUUACAAUUGAACAUGAGAAGCCCGGCGCGGUGGCUCACACCUGUAAUCCCAGCACUUUAGGAGGCCGAGGCAGGUGGAUCACCUGAGGUCGGGAGUUUGAGUCCAGCCUAGCUAACCUGGUGAAUUCACGUCUCUACUAAAAAUACAAAAAUUAGCCAGGCACAGUGGCAGGUGCCUAUAAUCCCAACUACUCAGGAGGCUGAGGCAGGAGAAUCUCUUGAACCCAGGAAGUGGAGGUUGUAGUGAGCUGAGAUUGCACCCUUGCACUCCAGCCUGGGCGACAGAGUGAGACUCCAUCUCAAAAAAAAUAAAAAUAAAUAACAAUUGAACAUG